rnacentral:rRNA from 1 species
CCCUUAGAUGUCCGGGGCCGCACGCGCGCUACACUGAAGGAAUCAGCGUGGCUUUCUCCCUGACCCGAAAGGGUUGGGAAACCCGUUGAAUCUCCUUCGUGAUAGGGAUUGGGGCUUGAAAUUGUUCCCCAUGAACGAGGAAUUCCCAGUACGCGCGAGUCAUAAGCUCGCGUUGAUUACGUCCCUGCCCUUUGUACACACCGCCCGUCGCUACUACCGAUUGAACGGUUUAGUGAGGGCCUCGGAUUGGUCUCGGCCCGCUCUUUACCGGGCGGCGCCGUUGGUCGAGAAGACGCUCGAACUUGAUCGUUUAGAGGAAGUAAAAGUCGUAACA